UGAAAUGAAAGCGUUUAAGUAUAAUACUUAAUACAAAGUAAGCAUACUUACACAUGGAAACACAUUUUGUUGAAGAUAUAGAGAUUUAAAGUAAAUGAUGGGUAACAAAAUGGUUACUGCAAGUCUUCUCUUUGUAAUGCAAUUCUCAAGUCUCACUCUCCAGCUCUUCGGCCUGGCGUGUGAGGUCAGGGCCCGUGGGUAAAGUGGCUCGCAGAAGGAGCCGAGGUCAGUCCGGACGAGGAAGUUCCCUUCUGCUGAAGAAUCGCAGCGCUAGAUCUCAACAGACAGCAGCUCAAACGUUUGUGCGGCCAGAGAGCAGCAACAAUGAUGAAUGUCAAGAAACCCAAAGCAGGUACUGAAUCAUUUACUUUCAAGAUUAAUACAUCUUUGCUUUGUGUAGGCGGAGUGAAGGCAUUUGAUCCUUCAUCAUAAACAUUCGUUCGCCGGUGCUGACAAUAAUUAAUGUGUUUUAACGUUCUCUCUGCUUUGGGAUGGGAUUAAACUGACAGGUUGCCACGUUGCUUUGGUCUGGCAGGUUUUUGUACUCGUUGAAGAGGGGUUAGUUAUAAUGAUGCUUUAAUCUGGACCCAAUCCCUCACAUUCAAAGUGAUUAAUGCAACCGUAUGGAUUCUCUACAGCGGAUAAGGAUUUAAAUGAAAGCACAGGGAACUAUGAAAGGUGAACUUUUAAUGAGGUAAAUGGGAGUUUUAGGGGCUUUUUUCACACCUUUUGAGUGGCGUACCUGUGAAUUGUUUUGAUCUCAGCGAGGAAGUCAAGAAGUUUUGUAAAAAUAAAGUAGUUGUUGGUGGUUGUACA
ensembl:lncRNA